CUUUCGUCACGCCGUGACGGGCUUCUCUCUCGCGAGAUAUAUCACGGUCAGUAUAGACGUGGCCAGAAGCGUUCCCGCCAUGUUCUCUCUGUGUUUUUGUCGUUAAAGAUUCGAGCUGUGACAACUUCGAAUGCGCAUAUUUAUUAUAACUAACGGUCAAUCGCCAGACUGGAAGACAAGGAGAAUUAUCACGUUUUCGAGGCAGCGUCGUGCAACUAUUGAGUGGUUACCGGUCUCCAGUUGAACAUACCAAGAGUGCCAAUCACGUCGCUGAAGGACACUGUGAAUCAACAUGGUUUCGAGUCAACGUCGUGCACCGCUCGCUAGUUGAGCAUACCAAAAAGUUUAUUUUUA
rnacentral:lncRNA from 1 species